GGUUUGGUAGCAUAACUGGAUAGUGCAUCUGCGAUACAUGCCAAAUGUAAGCGCAUGCAGCAGAAUGUCCCUGUUCAAUUCAGGGUCAGGCCA